AUGGGGAAGCUUUUGUACCUUGGCCUGGAGCUGAACAACUGCUGCCAUGGUGGGAGCCCCUCCAACAUGUGUCUAUGAAGAUGUCACAGCAGAAGAAUGAUCUACCAAUUAGGAAAGAAGGAACAAAACCAAAUCAUGAGAAAGAAGAUGGCAAAAUGUAACAACAAAGUAUCCUCGAUGAGUUUGUCAUCAGACCUCUUCCUUUUGGAGGCAUCCGGAGAUGGUGAAUAGAACAAGGACCCAAAAUCAGGAUGGCCUGGAUGUGAAUCAUCCCUCAGAAUCUUACUAGCUGUGUGACUCCAGACAAGUCAAGUCACCUCAGUUUUCUCAUCUGUAAAACAGGAAUAA